rnacentral:rRNA from 1 species
CGAGAAAGCCCGCAAGGGUGAGUAAAGCGGCGCACGGGUGCGUAACACGUGGAUAAUCUGCCCUAGAGUCUGGAAUAACUCGCCGAAAGGGGUGCUAAUGCCGGAUGAGCCCACGGGGUCCUUGGACCCUGAGGGAAAAGGUGGCCUCUGUAUACAAGCUAUCACUUCAGGAUGAGCCCGCGGCCCAUCAGCUCGUUGGCGGGGUAAUGGCCCACCAAGGCUACGACGGGUAGCUGGUCUGAGAGGACGAUCAGCCACACUGGAACUGAGACACGGUCCAGACUCCUACGGGAGGCAGCAGUGGGGAAUCUUGCGCAAUGGGCGAAAGCCUGACGCAGCAACGCCGCGUGUGUGAUGAAGGUCUUCGGAUCGUAAAGCACUGUCGCGAGGGACG